rnacentral:misc_RNA from 1 species
GAAAUGCGAUAAGUAAUGUGAAUUGCAGAAUUCAGUGAAUCAUCGAAUCUUUGAACGCACAUUGCGCCCGCCAGCACUCUGGCGGGCAUGUCUGUUCGAGCGUCAUUUCAACCCCCAGAACCCCUUGCGGGAUCUGGCGUUGGGGAUUGGCAUCCAGCCAGCCCCGAAAUCUAGUGGCGGUCCCUCCGCGACCUCCCCUGUGCAGUAGCGAUACCUCGCAGCGGGACAGCGGUCUGACCACGCCGUAAAACCCCCAACUUCUCAAGGUUGACCUCGAAUCAGGUAGGAAUACCCGCUGAACUUAAGC